rnacentral:rRNA from 1 species
UACAGAGGUCUCAAGCGUUGUUCGGAUUCAUUGGGCGUAAAGGGUGCGUAGGCGGCGCGGUAAGUCGGGUGUGAAAGCCCUCGGCUCAACCGAGGAAUUGCGCUCAAUACUGCCGAGCUCGAGAGAGACAGAGGUAAGCGGAACUAAUGGUGGAGCGGUGAAAUGCGUUGAUAUCAUUAGGAACACCGGUGGCGAAGGCGGCUUACUGGGUCUUUUCUGACGCUGAGGCACGAAAGCCAGGGGAGCGAACGGG